rnacentral:rRNA from 1 species
GUGGUAAUGCCGGAUGCUCCAUCACACCGCAUGGUGUGUUGGGAAAGCCUUUGCGGCAUGGGAUGGGGUCGCGUCCUAUCAGCUUGAUGGCGGGGUAACGGCCCACCAUGGCUUCGACGGGUAGCCGGCCUGAGAGGGCGACCGGCCACAUUGGGACUGAGAUACGGCCCAGACUCCUACGGGAGGCAGCAGUGGGGAAUAUUGCACAAUGGGCGCAAGCCUGAUGCAGCGACGCCGCGUGAGGGAUGGAGGCCUUCGGGUUGUAAACCUCUUUUGUUAGGGAGCAAGGCAUUUUGUGUUGAGUGUACCUUUCGAAUAAGCACCGGCUAACUACGUGCCAGCAGCCGCGGUAAUACGUAGGGUGCAAGCGUUAUCCGGAAUUAUUGGGCGUAAAGGGCUCGUAGGCGGUUCGUCGCGUCCGGUGUGAAAGUCCAUCGCUUAACGGUGGAUCCGCGCCGGGUACGGGCGGGCUUGAGUGCGGUAGGGGAGACUGGAAUUCCCGGUGUAACGGUGGAAUGUGUAGAUAUCGGAAA